GAUGAACGCUGGCGGCGUGCCUAAUACAUGCAAGUCGAGCGAACGGACGAGAAGCUUGCUUCUCUGAUGUUAGCGGCGGACGGGUGAGUAACACGUGGAUAACCUACCUAUAAGACUGGGAUAACUUCGGGAAACCGGAGCUAAUACCGGAUAAUAUUUUGAACCGCAUGGUUCAAAAGUGAAAGACGGUCUUGCUGUCACUUAUAGAUGGAUCCGCGCUGCAUUAGCUAGUUGGUAAGGUAACGGCUUACCAAGGCAACGAUGCAUAGCCGACCUGAGAGGGUGAUCGGCCACACUGGAACUGAGACACGGUCCAGACUCCUACGGGAGGCAGCAGUAGGGAAUCUUCCGCAAUGGGCGAAAGCCUGACGGAGCACGCCGCGUGAGUGAUGAAGGUCUUCGGAUCGUAAAACUCUGUUAUUAGGGAAGAACAUAUGUGUAAGUAACUGUGCACAUCUUGACGGUACCUAAUCAGAAAGCCACGGCUAACUACGUG
rnacentral:rRNA from 1 species